CCCUGAUGCAAACAAUGCAUAAUGACAAUUGCGCAUCACAAAUAGCCUACCAACCAACACUUCGGACUAAACUUUUUCAAUACAUGAAAUUACGAGUCCUCACUGUCCGAGAGUCAAGACCGAGUACAAAUGUAUCCAACACCAAGACAAGACCGCAACACUCAAUAAUAUGGUCUCGAGACUGGAAUUCUCGGUCUCGAGUACUACAACACUGGAGCGGUGCUUCCAGUAGGCGGCCUCCUCCUGGGUGAGUAUUUCAUCGAGCACCUGAGCAGCAUGGUAGUAGUCCAGGUGGGUGGCGGUAGUAUCCGGGCUGGGAAUCUGGUGCCUCAAGCCGGGGUGUUCCAGGCUCUACUGGACAGCCAGACUCUGGUUGCCCGUAUCCACCUGGUGGAGCUUCUGCAUGGGCUCAGAGAGGACUGGGGCUCUGGGGAGAUGGGUUUGCAGGGUCUGCAGGCCCAGAGGAAGGAGACUGAGCUGGGACGGAUCCAGGCUGCAGCCAAGGAGAAGGAGCAGGCCUGGGGGAAGGUGCUACACUGUCACCUGCAGCUGCUGAGCCGGCUGGAGACCCUGCUGGACUGGGCCUGGGGCAUUGCCCAGGAUGGUAGCAUCCAAGGACUGGUUGCGAUUAGUUUCGGGGCCCUGACAGUGGACCCUGUAACAGGGGUGCUGGCUCCUGUUGUGGAGGUUUUCCUGGAUGUGUCCAGACAGACUGCCGUACCUGUUACUGCUUCAUACUGCCUGGCUCUGGGAGAUAAUCCUGACAGUGUGCUGAUAAGGAAGGUGGAGGCCCUGCAAGAUGAGUGGUGUCUGAGGAGCAGGUACUGGAAGCAGGAGAAACAGAAGGAGGAGGAGCUGCUAGGAGAUCUGGAGUCUCCUUGUGGCCACUCAAGAGGACUCUGAGCAGGUAAACUGAACUAGGCUGCAGGGCAGGCAGAUGGAUGGGGCUGCACAGUCCUCAACAAACAGGAAAGGAUUUCUCUUAUGCUGAGUUGUUUGAAUGCAUACAUGUCAUUUUGAUUUACGUUAAUAUCCCUAGUGGCAUUACUGUAUAAUGGAGACCCCUAUACAUUGUGUUUGUGUGUGCACAUGCCUGUAUGUGUGUGAGUUUGUGUGUGUGUGUGCACUGUAGGCCCACUGGGUGGACAGAGAGGAAGCUGAGGGUGGCUGCAGCGGAGCUUCAGGAGACUGACCAGUCAGAAUCCCAGAGGAGAGUGUCCCAGCUCUCAGACCUGUCUCUGCUCCUGCCGCCUCACGUUCUGCUUGUCGUCACUCAAGGUGAUGAUAAGGAGUGGGAGCAGCACUGCUGCUGGCAGACAAAGCUGGUGGCUGGCCUGGACAGGGUGAACGUGUUUGCAGAGAAACUGCAGCAGGACCAGGAAAGAUGAGAGGAGAGCAGACGGAGAGCACAGAGAGGAGAGCACAGAGAGGAGAGGAGACGGCAUCAAUCUAUGUCAUGGAUAGGAAAGUAAGACAGAGAAAUAUGGGAGCAGCUAAUCUCCAGGCAGAAAUACUCUGCCAGGUCUGCGCAGAUAUAGUGCAGCUUACAAACAUAAACUCAAACGGAAAGUACCAGUGACACGCUCAAUAUGGAAGUGGUCCGACGAAGUGGAUGCUAAGCUACAGGACUGUAUCGCUAGUACAGACUAGAAUAUGUUCCAGGAUUCAUCCGAUAACAUUGAAGAGUUUACCACAUCAGUUACCUGCUUCAUUAAUAGGUGCUUCCACAACGUCGUCCCCACAGUGACCGUACGUACAUAUCCCAACCAGAAGCAUUGGAUUACAGGCAACAUCCGCACUGAGCUAAAGAAUAGAGCUGACGCUUUCAAGGAGUGGGACACUAAUCUGGACGUUUAGAAGAAAUCCUGCUAUGACCUCCGAUGAGCUAUCAAACAGGCAAAGCGUCAAUACAGGACUAAGAUUGAAUCCUACUACGCCGGCUCUGACACUCGUCGGAUGUGGAAGGGAUUGCAAACUAUCACGGAUUACCAGGGGCACACUUUGGCUUUUGAAGUGGGGGGGACAUAAUUAUAUAUAUUUUUUUUAUCAAGUCGGAUAAACACUCCAAACAGCCUACCCGGCAGCUUGGAGGCAUUCGCAUGGUAUCACAUUCCAAUGAUAAAACUAGGGGGGACAAAAAAGAAAUUUCAAAAUGUGGGGGGGACAUUGAAUGUUGCGCCCCUGCGGAUUACAAAGGGAUACCCAACCGCGAGCUGCCCAGUGACGCAAGCUUACCAGAUGAGUUAAAUGCAUCUAUGCUCGCUUCAAGGCCAGCAACAUUGGACCAAGCAUGAGAGCACCAGCUGAUCUGGACAUCUGUGAUUUCGCACUCCGUAGCCAAUGUGAGUAAGACCUUUAAACAGUUUAACAUUCACAAGGCCGCGUAGCCAGAUGGAUUACAUGGAUGCGUAUUCAGAGCAUGUGUCUUCACUGACAUUUUCCACCUCUCCCUGAGCCAGUCUGUAAUACCAUAGUCCCUUUUCCCAAGAACGCCAAGGUAACCUGUGUAAAUGACUAUUGCGCCAUAGCACUCACAUAUGUAGCCAUGAAAUUCUUUGAAAGGCUAGUCAUGGCUAACAUCAACACCAUCAGUCCAGACACCCUGGAUCUCUAUGGCACUCCAUACUGCCCUCUCCCACCUGAGCAAAAGGAACACCUACAAUAUGUGAGAAUGCUGUUAAUUGACUACAGCUCACCAAGCUCACCACUAAGCUCAGGACCGUUGGACUGAACACCUACCUCUGCAACUGGAUCCUGGACUUCCUGACGGUUCACCCCAGGUGGUGAGGGUAGGCAACAACACAUCCACCACGCUGACCCUCAACACGGGGGGCCCUCAGGGGGUGUGUACUUAGUCCCCUCCUGUACUUUCACAGUCAACCUGUUGUUUACAAAGCAUUUGAUAUAUCACAUUUGAUUGAUUUGAAGUGGGAGACAGCAGCAUAAAGUCUUAAAAAUGGACCAUUGGUGCUGGCUUGGGUUACAUCCAUUGUUAAUGUUUUUCUGUAGUUAAAUGUACUAAAGUGAACCAAGUUAGAGCCGGUCAGUGUAUGUUCCAAAUUAGUGGUGGAGAUUGGGGAUCAACAGGCUUUUAUUCAGGGGUGUUAGGCAAAACAAGGGGCAAAGUAAAGAUCCUAAUUUCCUUGCAACAGUGGAGGACCAAGGGAUUAGUGGGCAUCAUGUGUCUGGGGGCUGGACAGAAGCUUGCUGGAGUUAUGAGUGGGAGGAGAGACUAACAAGUGGCAACCUCCAAUUACAAUAUCCUACCUAGUGAAAGUGGUUGUCAUGUGUGCUCCCUCUCCGGCCUCUAGGUCACCAGGCUGCUCGUUAUGGCGCCCACCUGUCACCAUCGUUACGCGCACCUCCGCGUCAUCAGACUUACCUGGACUCCAUAACCUCCCUGAUUACCUUCCCUAUAUAUGUCACUCCCUUUGGUUCCUUUCCCAGGCGUUAUUGUUUCAGUUUCAUGUCUGUGUGCUGUUAGUGUUUCUUGUUUUGUAUUAUGUUCCGUUUAUUUUAUUAAAACACCCGCUCUCUGAACUUGCUUCCCGACUCUCAGCGCACAUCGUUACAGUGGUUUCCAAGUAACAUUUGAGGUACUUUUAAUACUAGGCAUAUUUUGGGGGGAUUGGUACUAAAAUAAAAUAGUAAUUAAGCCAUGAAAGAAAGGUUAUUAAUAACAACUUUGAAUUUAGUUUGUAGUGUUGGUUUGGUAACAAGAUAAGGUGUUCUUAUAAACUGCUUAUAAUUAUGAUUAAAAAUAAACCAAUUAAUUGCAUAACACGUCCCAUGAAUACUCUAUUCAUAAUGAAUUACACAUUCUGAGUAGUCCAAUCAAAAUAUUUCUCACAGGAUAUCAUUUUUUAUUUUAUUUAACUAGGCAAGUCAGUUAGGAACAAAUUCUUAUUUACAAUGAUGGCCUAGGAACAGCGGGUUAACUUCCUUGUUCAGGGGCUGAACGACAGAUUUCAACCUUGUCAGCUCAGGGAUUCAAUCUAGCAACCUUUCGGUUAUUGGCCCCAACGCUCUAACCACUAGGGCUACCUGCCGCCCCUAAUAAAAAUCUGUUUACCUGAAAUGAACCCUCUAAUACAGGAGGCGUAAACCUAGAACAGGAGAUAAGAUAACAGGCGCUGACCAAUAAGGGAAAAGGAACUUGAUAAGAACACAUCAUGAUACAGAGCUAUUGUUUCAGUAUUUGAUUUAUACAGUAGUGUCACAUUUGUCUUCAAGAAUGGACCAAGGCGCAGCGGGAAUGUGGAUACUCAUAGUUUAAUUCCAAACACAAGUAAAGCAUCCACAGGGAAAACAAUAAACGGUACUCACAAAGACAGGAACAGUUUUGCAGGCACACAACACGCAGUGCAAAAACAACUACCCACGAAAACCAAACAAACACACACCUACUUAUGGGACUCCCAAUCAGAGGCAACUAGAAACACCUGCCUCCAAUUGAGAGUCCAGCACCCAAAACUACACAUAGAAAAACAAACCUAGAACCUAUACCAAACUAACACACCCCACUACACCACACACAAAACCCCAUAAUACAAAACAAAUAUACCUCUGCCACGUCCUGACCAAAUAUAAUAGAAAUAAUACCUAAAUAUUGGUCAGGACGUGACAAGUAGGCUAAUCUAUGCAUCUUUCUAGAAACUAUGUUUGCUGAUGAUGGACACGUUGGUUGGAAUUUGCUGCUACUUUGGUUGUAACUCAGAUAAAAAAUAAUCCUUACAAGCAGAAUCAGGCCUAAUUACUCACCUGGGGGGACUAUUCAGUAAACUUUAAAACAUAUUGAUUACUUUGCUGUGAUGCAUAAUAUGACCCAGCACCAUGGUGCAUUUAUGCUACACUGAUAAAAAUACAUGCUUGCAAUUCAUGGUACAAUAAAUAGGUGGAUAUCACUCAAAUCUUGAGGGCAUUUUUGUAAACUGUGCACAUUUUCAAUACCCCUGAAAAUCUCAUGGCGGCACUCUUGGUCUCUUUGUGUUCAGAUAAUACUGUAAACAGUCCAUUAUGAACCGAAGAAUGGACUGAAAAAAGGUGAGCUCUGCUCUUCAGCGGGGUGGCAGUGGCAAGCACUGUCUGCUAUAGGACUGGAGCUGUUAUCACAGCCUAAUAUAUCAAGCCUUUAUCAAUGUUUUGGUAGAAAAUGUAGAUAAGGAACUGCACAGGUAAAGGACUCACUAUGGGUGUUGAAUGCUUUGAAACCAUACGCCCCUACUUUUAGAAAUCCAAUCCCUUGGAUAAAAAAAGGGUUGAUCGUUAUUAUAGUUACGAGUAUAUUACACACUCAAGUCAAGAGGAAGAGUAAACAGACAGCCAACUAUUGUAGCUAGCUAGCUAAACAAAGAAAACAGCUUCUUUCAAUGGUAUUGGAUAAUCUUCAUUUAGCAGACCCCUUAUACUGUUCAGGACGUGACACCACCAGUCAUUCAUCCUCAGUUCAGUAGCUAGCUGACUUCAGGUUUGCCAGGUCGAGCUAGAAUUUCUAGCCCAAUGCCCAAAAGGCUUGAAAACUAGCACCAAAAAAAAUGUCACAGCAAGAGAGGAGUUGCCAUAUCUAUAUAAUAAACCCUUUUUCCAUAACGUUAUCGAACCAAUUAAGAAGGAAUAUUAUUGUAAUUUGUAACGACGUAGAAGCAAAAUUCAGGUUUCCUCAAAAUAGUAAUCAUUGCAAGUUAUGACAUGACAUAAAAAAGGUGUCACAGACUGAUCUGUUUCACCUGUCUUGUGCUUGUCUCCACCCCCCACCAGGUGUCUCCCAUUUGUCCCCAAUGAUUCCUGUGUGUUUAUACCUGCGUUUUCUGUUUGUCUGUUGCCAGUUCGUCUUGUCCAGUCAAGUCCUACCAGCGUGUUCCCGUGUUUCCUGUGCUGUAGUUUUUGUUUUUCGUAGUCUUUCCAGUUCUGACCUUUCUGCCUGUCCUGACCAUGAUCCUGCACCUGCCUGACUCUGAUUAGGAUUACGACUCUUUGCCUGUCUUGACCUACCGAUUGCCUGCCGUUCUGUACCUGCCUGACUCUGAUUUCAGCCCCCUGAACUAUUAUAAACUCUGUGACUCGUACUAUCUGCCUCCUGUGUCUGCAUCUGGGUCUUAGCCUGAGUCCUGAUGGCCAGUUCGUACUAUGACUGACCCAGCAGACUCAGACCAACUCCUCAACGCUGUCUCCUUAAAAGACCAGGCUCAUCAGUAGGUACGAGUACACUGGUGAGCCGUACGGGGAGUUUCCAAUCCCUUACCACUCAUAACUCCACUAUGCUACCCUGUUGUGGGGAGGCCAGUCCAAAUCCAUCCGGGUGCUCAUUGACUCUGGGGCCGAUGAGAGCUUUAUGGACACUACCCCGGUGUCAGAACUGGGUAUCUCAACUCAACCCCUUUCCAUUCCGAUGGACAUCAGAGCGCUGGAUGGGCGUUCUAUUGGCAAUGUCAACCACAGCAUGGUUCCUAUCCACCUGCAAGUGUCAGGCAACCACAGUGAAUCCAUGCAGUUUCUGCUCCUGGAGUCUCCUCAUGUACCCAUGGUUUUGGGGUUGUCAUGGCUCCAGAGGGACAAUUCCCUUAUUGACUGGGCUGCGGGGUCCAUCAUGGGUUGGAGUCCAUUUUGCCAUGCACAUUGUCUGAAGUCUGUAAGCAGAAUUGCAAACUAGACACUCUGGUUUGACGUUGGAGAAAUAUGGUAAGAAUGCCUAUUUCUCUGUCCAUUCUUCCCUGAAACUUUUAUUUUCAUUAUCCUCCUUUCUUUUGAGACCUUUUCAGCCCAAAAUCUUUUUUUGAUUGCAAGAUGUUUGUCCCCAAUCAACGCACACAGAAAUAUAAAAAACAAAAUUAAUAGAGACAUUGGUGAAUUUAAAAAUGUAAUCAUAAUGAACAUAUUAAGCUAUGUUAUUGACAUGUUACUGAUUAUAUAGCUUACUAACCAAAUGUGUUAAAAACGGUGUUUUAAUUUGUAGUGUAGGCCUAUGAAUUGGGAUGCUAUUAUGUAAUGUGUGUCUGAAUUUUAGCUGAGAAAAAAAUGGGCCAAACUUAUUGCAGACCCCUGCUGUCAUGAACUGUAUUUAUCAGCUAAAAGCUUACUGUUACAACGUCCACAGAAGGUGGCGCCUCUCCUCGGUCGGGUGGUGCUCGACGUUCGUCGUCGCCGGCCUACUAGCUGCCACCGAUCUGUGUUUCAGUGUCUGUUAGUUAUGUCUGUUUUUUGAUUGCACCUGUUUCGUGUUUGUCAUUAGUGGGGGGGUAUUUAGUCUGUCUGUGUUUAGUUAGGAUUCGUGCGGGAUUCUUCUUUGUUACGUGUGGUGUUAUAUUGUUUGGGUUACGACUUAUUGUAUAGGCAGUAGGGUUGCCGGGCUGCGCCCCGUCUGCCCUUUUUGAGCGGAGCUUCUUUUAGUCUUUUUGACUGUUGUGCUCCCAGCCGUAUAUGGAUUUUGCCUUUGGAUUUAUUAAAUCAAGUUUGUUCCAAC
rnacentral:lncRNA from 1 species